GACGAACCGUGCGAACGUUGUUCGGAAUCACUGGGCUUAAGGGCGCGUAGGCGGGCCUUCAAGUCCGGGGUGAAAUCCUCCAGCCUAACUGGAGAAGAGCCUCGGAGACUGAGGGCCUCGAGGAGGGUAGGGGCAAGCGGAACUAUGGGUGGAGCGGUGAAAUGCAUUGAUAUCCAUAGGAACUCCGGUGGCGAAGGCGGCUUGCUGGACCCUUUCUGACGCUGAGGCGCGAAAGCCAGGGGAGCAAACGGG
rnacentral:rRNA from 1 species